rnacentral:rRNA from 1 species
GGUUGAUCUCUUUCCGUGUGGGCCCAACGGCCCACCGGGCCCCUGAUCCGCGCCCUGAUCGGGGGCGCCCAACCACAAUAUGGUUGACGGGCCCCUGUCACGCAGCGCUACAUAAAGAGGUGGGGGCCGGCGGCACGCAGUACGAGGUUCACCGCGUUGCCAGUCUCCCCACCGAAAACCCCGACCCGAUCUAGGUCUAGCGCUGACAGUGACGGGAAGCUCCGCCGCCGCCACUGCCUACACAUCGCCGCCACCUCCACCUUGCCCACUCUCCGCCAUCGCCGUGCGCCCCAGCACCACGAUGGCCUCCUCGAGUUCAUCCUCUGCUGCACAAGGUAGGUUGUAUACCGGAUCUAAUCUAGCCUAGUGAUCCAGAG